AAAGCUGUGAAAACUAUUUUAUCUGCAUAAAUAGAUGUUUGCUAUACUAUUCAAUUUUAAUAAUCUGAAGAAUUGCCCACAUCUGAAAGUUCAAAAACAUGUAAUUCUGCUGAUUAAUUGUUCUAACACUUUUUUUUUCUUCUUCUCUUUAAUAGUCUUCAGAGGGAACUGUAGGUGAAAUGACUGCACAUCAGUUGCAUUGCCAACAGAGGGAGUACUAGAUUGCCUUAACAGUAUUCGUUGGCGCUGGUAAAGCAUUUGUCCUUACAUAAAUGCAGAAAAAGAAGUCGUCUUGCCAAGUGAGAGGCAUAGUAAACCCAAGUAUUUUUGAGUGUCUAAGAAAAGGCUGGUGAAGGGGGGAUGUUCAAAGGAUUCUUUGAUACGAUAACUUUAAGAGACUGAACUUACUCUUUAAAAUUCCUAGCUUUGCAUGUACUACAUAUUUCCAAAAGAAUCUUUUAAUACAUUAGUACACUCUGCAUUUGAAUAUUUAAGAGAACCUCAGGGUUUUUUGUAGUUAAAGCCUUUACAUUUAUUUACUUUUUUUCUCUAAACUUUACAGGAGGGGAAAACCGAAGUGUCUGUGUAUAUGAAUUGCUUGUCUUCUGAGAUGCUGAAAAAACUUUUUCCAGCAUACACCAGUUCACUUUAUCUGGUUGCGUUUGGAAAGCAAUGGUCAAGGUAAACGUUCAUUGUAAUGCUAAAGUGAAAGGCACUUCUUUUCCCAUGUUUUAUAGGAGAAAUAGUAUUAUUUUCUGUAGCAGGAAUAGGUAAUAAUACGUUGCUUCCAGCUUUUGCACGCUUUACAAAGACAUCUCUAUUGAGAAGCUUUCUCCAUGCAUCCUCCACCCAUGGAGUUAAAAGCUAGUAAUCGCAGUUUACAUAAGCCAUUAUGUGCUGUGUGCUGCAUCAUUCACAUGUGGAUAAUAAUGUGAUGCAGGGCAUGAGGUAAUGAUUUCAAGUGUACACACCUUUUGGGUGUGUUGAGGUGCUCAUAUUUUAAACAAGCAGUUCUCUCUCCACACCUUAGAAGAUCUUUUUUUAAUAGCUGUUAUGAAAUGCUGCUGCUUUAGUAGGACAUGCAGCCUAGUGCUUCUGCCUUGCUUACAGAAACAGCAAGGUAGAAAUCAUCUUUAUAUGCUAUGUUACCCUUUAGUGCUCUAUAUGUUUACAGUAAAGUCAAAUCACCCUUCCACCUAAUUGAUCAGAAUAGAUAAGUCUUCCAUGUUUGUACAAAUCCUCAGGCUUAUCAUUAAAUUAGCUGUUAACUAUUGCUUCCAAGGUUUAUACUGAAGGUAUUAAGAGUAAGGGUAAAGAGAAGUCAUUUCAGCAACAUGGCUUUUAAUGUAACAGUAAAUUCUAAUUUAAAUAUAUUAAAUCUUAAUUUUGUAAUACUCUUAAUUUUAAGUUGUUCAGCAUUUUAUAUUGGCCGCUUUUGUGUUUAUUGCACACAAACUACUUGGAGAUACAGAGCUUUUUCAUUUUUGGAAGAUGAUGUCUUGUGGUAUUUAAAGCAAAUACUAUUUGGGGGGCUUGGGGCAGGAAUGAACUGUGUUUGGGUCCACGUUUUAUAUCCACUGGUAUUUUUGUCCAAGGUGACUGGACUGACUGGUUGUUCAAGUCAGCAAAUGUUUUUGUCCUUCACCUGCAGUCUGCUACUAUUCAAAGCACGUGGCCCAUGCUGUCACACUUGCAUACACGCUUGAAUUAAAAUUCCCGCAACUGUGUUUGUUCCCAUUUAAAAGUCUUGGUUUUUAACAUAAUGGAAGACUCUAGGCUUUUGUAAAUACAGAGUUGCCUGUGUGCUCAGAAUUAUUUUUUUUAUAUUGCUUUUGUGCUUCUUUUGCAAAAUUGUUAGCAGAUGUUUAGAGUUGCUCAUUUUAGUCUUGAUAUUAUCCCUGUCUGUCUUAUUCAGAUAUGGUUUUGAGGGUAAGUCAAGUAUCAUUUGAUACCAGUGCUCAUUUUUUCCUAAUGAUAUCAAUAUAAUUAAUAAAUAGGUGGUACAAACAUUUUCCUAUAUAGUCAAAAUCUGUAGGACGAGUUCGUUAUUGAUAGGCAAAAGUAGGCACUUCAGUAGCCUGCCGGCAGGGGACUAGAAAAACGUCAAGCUGAAAGCUGCCUGGAGCUCUUAAUGGAAGGCACUGGGCUACCAGGCCCUGCCUGGCGUUUGGGCUGGCUGGAUAUGGUGUUUAGAGGCUGUCCCUGAAUCCUGUUAUGAAUCAAAGUGUGAACUGUUAGAUUUAGACCACCUAUACCAUCUAUUGAGAAUUCUUUUUUUUCUUAUUCUGUCCAUCUUAAACAUCUGUAGAUGUUUAGUUUCAAGUCUGAGGCUGUCAGAACAAACCUUUUUUCACUACUGUUCUAUAUAACCCGUAUGUUAAAACAAAAGUUACCCUCUGUUAGCCUAAAAAUUUCUUUGCUUACCUGGUAAAGCAAAACAGAGCUGGGAAUAGAAUGCUUUCAUUUGUUACUCUUUUGCCUUUCAGAUUGUAAAGAAAACUUAUAAAAGUUCCUGUAAUGCUUCUUUUUUCUUUAAAUACAGUUUUUGUAAUGCAUGUGUUUUGAUCUCAGAAAAGUGGACAGCCUGUGGCAGGAACUGUAUAAUUUUUGUUUUUAGCGUUUAGUAAUGAAUUUGAAAUAGGGGUAAUCAUGCAAAAUACUGGGCACUCAGAGGUAUCUCUUAACUGUUCUGUUAAAUCUUAUCUUUUAAACUGUCCUUUCUAUGGUGGUGGUAGUCGGUAUGGGUAAUGCUCUGAAGAAGAUUGAGCAGAACCAGUAAGUAAAAACUCCUACAGUAUUUACCUCUGCUGUAAGACAUGGUUAAUUAGGAAUGGGGAGUUUUCCCUGCUGUUUCUCUCGUGGUUAGGAAUGAAUUCAUUGCUGUUCAUUUAUAUUUCACUGCUCCUAUCAAGUGCUAUAUAUUGUUGCUUCACUGAAGAUCCUUGUAAUUACUGAUUUUUUUAUUUUUUUUUUUAAAUCUGUCAGGUGUAACUACUCAAGUGGCUUUUGUAUAUUGAAACUGCAAUCUGAUCACACUACAAGGUCUGAGAAAAAGCUGAAUAGCAAAGUAUUUCUUCUGCUUUUAAGUCACAUUCCCAUGGUGAUGGGUGUGGCAUAAUAACCUAGAUUAGAGUUUACUAAAAUGAAUGAGUAAUAAAAUUUGUAAUGAGGUGGGUAUAGCAUGAGCAGGCAUCACUCAAUUUUUCCCACAGAUUCCUGUUGGCAUAGCAGUCAUGUUUGUUUACAGCAUUUGGAACAGUGACAGUAUUUUAAAAUGCUUGUGCACAUCUAAAAAUGCCUGAUCUGUGUAAAAUAUUCAGGGUAUCAGUCAGGUGGCUCAUUGUCUCUUAAGAAGAUUUUAAUUUUUAACAUACUUUUAUAACCUGAUUCACAGAUUUUAAAAUGUCAUGAAAAGAGAGAUAGCAGAGAUUCUAGAAGAUAUCUGAAAGACCUGUUAGCUGCUAAGAAGAAUUAUUUUUACUGCAAACUGUGUAAAGCAGGAUAGCUGGGGGAAAAAAAGGAAAAAUGAAGAGGAGGAAAAAGCUCAAAUAUAAUUAAAGUGUUUCAAAUGCACUGGUAGUUGCCAUGGAACUCCGUAGUACCUUCAUUUUGUAACACGGCUGUGCUGCCUCUGGUAAGUAAAUGCCAUUGAAGAUUGAUGCUGUUCCUAAGAAUACAUUGUAGAGUCAUACUUAGAUUUCGGGGGUGGGAAGGGAUGAGUCAGAGGUAAGAAUUGGUGUCGAUCCUUGGAGAAGCUUACAAACAGGAUGGAUUUAAUAACAUGGUAACUAAUAUGUGACAGUUGGAUACUUCCUAAACUUCAGUUAACUACAAGCAACAAAGAUUUGACAUAAGAUUUUUUUACAACAUAUAUUUAGCUGUCAUCCAAUGACUGAAUAAAAAAUUAUUUACUUUCAGAACUCGGCACUCUCAAUAGGAACAAAAAACUGCUUUGCUUCUCUGUAGGUGAGGAUUCAGCUGUUGUUGGUAUUUACAUAAGUGGUAGAAUGAUUUGCAUGGUCUUUUUGAAUAGGCUGUUUUUUCAGUUAUCUAUGAAAUGAAACAAUCAAGAUGAAUGUUAUUGUUAAAUUAAGUACCUUGUUUAAAUGAGCAUGCAGAAAGGAUUCUUUAAAUAAUGUCUGUUUAAGGGUACUGUUCUCUGUUGCUUUACCUAUGUUGGGUAGAACGAAUAAUGUAAAAUGGGAUGAAAGCUUGAUUUGUGUAGCACACCAACAACACUUGCAGGACUUGCAGAGCUUUUAUGUACUGCUGCAGGGUAGUACAAUCCAGGGAAGGAAGACACUACAUUACGAAUGGAAAGACUUCUUGUAGCAUUUCAAUCCACUAAGCUGUGAUUAUUUAUAUUUUUUUAACUGUUGCAUACAUGAUAAUUAAGGCUAAAAGGGCAGUUUUUCAUCUAGUGUAAACUAUCAGUCAAAGACUGCUGGUUUCAGAGACACAAAUGUAAGGCCAGAAAUACUAGGAGUAAGCGUGAAGCUUCAGGGUGCUAAAUCUCUUUAGGGUCAAUAAAGCUGUAAAUAGAUGAGCAAAAUGUACCACUCAGGUUAAAAGGGGAGAGGGGAAUCCUGUGGUAUUUUUGCAAAACCAGAAACAAGUACAGAAGAUAAUAGUGUUUCUGUGCUGGGAUUUCUGAAGCAGCACUUCUGUUAUUAAAAAAAAAAAAGCUAUUAGUUGCUUUUCUCUGAAGCAGGUGUGUCCAUCAGUUCUGUGUAGGAAUUGCUAAAUGUACACAUUGAAGAGAUCAUUCAAAUGAAAAAAAUCUUAUACCCAAAAUCUUCGUACUUGUGUGGGUAUGUCCCAUUGAAUAUAAAAAUCCAUCUCUUAAGUCAGGAUAGCCUUAAAUGCAGUUCUUAAAGAACAACGUUUUAGCUGUUUGGAAAGCUAAAUUAAAAACUAAAAGGUCCAAUAAUGUUGGACCCUUCGCAGAUCUGAAAAAAGGCAGAAACAAUUUCAGCUGGUGUUCCCGCAUUACUGAAGAGAACAAUUUUAAUUCUAAAGUGGGCCUUAUACUUGUGGCCAGGAUGCUAGUAGUUAUGUCAGCAUCCUGAAUUGCCCUGGAGCAUCUAGCAGUUCCUGGUUUUACAGAGUUAUGAAAAUGUGUAUAUAUUAUAUGUUGACUGAUGUGAUUAUGCAGUUCAGAAAAGAGCCACUAGAACUGGAAGCAAAGAUAUUCUGGCUUGCAAUCAUAUUUAGUCCUUUAUAGUACCAUGAUUUAUAGUACUGGCAUCUUUUUUUUUAUAAUGAUUGCUACAAAUUGGAUGUGAACGUUAACUGGAUGUUACUGUUGUCAAGAGUCUGCAUGUAUCUCCCAUCUAAGUGCAGACUGGUACACAGAAGCUGUCAGCUAUUUUGAACUGGGAUGAACUUAAGUUACAGUUGCUCUGAAGCUACUUUUUCAUAGUAUGAAGGUUGAUGCUGGUUGAAUGAUGGAUGACUUAACUCCCUUAUUUCCUACAAGAUUACUUUGAUCUUGAAGUUAUGGUUCUGUUCCACUAGGAAAUUACAUGAAAAACCAAUGGCAUAUUCACUUCGUAGGUAGAAGCUUUUGGUCUAUGUGACAUGAUUCUCAAUUCUUGCUUUAGUUGCAGGACAUUUUUAGCUUUGCCUUGCAAGACGGUAAAGAAGGCUGCUUAGGCAUUUGGACUGUAUUUUGUCUGUUAUUUCACCACUGUUACUGCUUGCACUUUAUUAAGAGUUCUACAAAAACAGCAAAGCUGCAACUCUUAGUUUCUGUCUUUAAUAUUAAGCUGACUUGCAAUUGCUCUGCUCUAUGGUAGCUACAUCAGUCUCAUACUGCUUAUGAAAAACUUUAAAUGCUGUGCAUUGAACUGCACUACUGAUAACGGGAACAAAUUGUGUGAGACAAAAAAUCACACUAAUGAAGGAAAACGAUGGAAAACUAUACAUUUGGAGGAAAACACACUCCAUAUUAGCCUCAGAUCAGUACAGAAAGCUCAUAUCUACAAAACCAGCAACAAGCACAAAGGUUCACAACUGUAGCUUAUGCAGCAGUAGGUAUUUUGGGGAAGCGUUCUGUAAAGUUAGUCUGAGACUCUGUUUUUACCCUAACUGCAGUUUUUGUGUUAGGGAAUAUUUCCAUAGGUAGGAGCUGCAGGGUCAGGUUUUUUUAAGUAAUCAUUUGCUGGCUCUGUGCUUCUGUGUACAAUUGAGUGUUUAAAUCCUGAAGUCCUUAUUCAGCGAAACUUUUAUCAAAUUUUGCAGGGAGAAAGAAGGGUGGCUGUCCAUGGAUUUGAGUAUCUGUUUCAACAUCUAGUGGCCAUGGUUUAUUCCAGAAUUGGAAAAACUCGAAUGAUAUAUUUUAUCCAUGUUUGGAAAAAGAUAGUUGCUACAGACAAGGAGGAUUGACACUGUUAUUGCAAAAAGAUGAGUAUGUUAAAGCCAAGUGGACUUAAGGCUCCUUCAAAGACCAUCAAGCACGGGAGUACAUUGCUGAAAACACCUGCAUCUGUUGCAGCUGCUCCAGCAGAAAAAGCAGCUUCCAACGAAAAGACCUCCAGCACAACCACUGCAGAUGUACAUGAAGAGUUUGUGGAUGAUUUCAGAGUUGGGGAGCGUGUUUGGGUCAAUGGAAAUAAACCUGGCUUUAUCCAGUUCCUUGGUGAAACACAGUUUGCUCCAGGACAGUGGGCAGGGAUUGUUCUGGAUGAACCCAUUGGUAAGAAUGAUGGCUCUGUGGCUGGAGUUCGCUAUUUCCAGUGUGAACCCUUGAGGGGAAUAUUUACAAGACCAUCAAAAUUGACAAGAAAAGUGCUGACAGAAGAUGAAGCCAAUGGUACACCAAGAGCUCAUGCUUCUAGAGCUACAUCACCAACUUCUGUAUCGGCUGCUAGUAUGGUGUCUUCAUCCACUGCUGCACUUCCCCCUUCAGGAAUUCCACAAAAAACUUCACCACUUGCUGCUAAGGAACAUUCAACUCCUCAGAUUAGCAAUCUUUCAAAAACUGCGAGUGAAUCUAUAUCAAAUCUCUCUGAAGCUGGAUCACUAAAGAAGGGAGAAAGGGAGCUCAAAAUUGGAGACAGAGUUCUGGUUGGUGGAACAAAAGCUGGAGUCGUGCGUUUCUUGGGAGAAACUGACUUUGCUAAAGGAGAAUGGUGUGGAGUAGAACUGGAUGAACCUCUGGGAAAGAAUGAUGGAGCUGUUGCUGGAACAAGGUAUUUUCAAUGUCAGCCAAAAUACGGUUUGUUUGCUCCAGUCCACAAAGUUACGAAGAUUGGAUUCCCAUCAACCACACCAGCAAAAGCGAAGACAACUGUGCGAAAAAUGGUUGCAACUCCCACAGCCCUGAAACGUAGUCCAAGUGCAUCUUCCCUGAGCUCUCUCAGUUCUGUGGCAUCUUCAGUAAGCAGCAAGCCAAGCCGUACAGGACUAUUGACAGAAACAUCGUCCAGAUAUGCAAGAAAAAUUUCUGGUACCACAGCCCUACAGGAGGCACUGAAGGAGAAGCAGCAACACAUUGAACAGCUCCUGGCAGAAAGGGACCUGGAGAGGGCAGAAGUUGCAAAAGCAACCAGUCAUGUAGGGGAAAUAGAGCAGGAAUUAGCACUUGUUCGCGAUGGACAUGAUCGGCAUGUACUGGAGAUGGAAGCAAAAAUGGACCAGCUACGAGCUAUGGUGGAGGCUGCUGAUAGGGAGAAAGUGGAGCUUCUCAAUCAGCUUGAGGAAGAGAAAAGGAAAGUUGAAGACCUUCAGUUCCGUGUGGAAGAAGAAUCCAUUACCAAAGGAGACCUAGAGACGCAGACCAAACUGGAGCAUGCCCGCAUUAAGGAGCUUGAACAGAGCCUGCUCUUUGAAAAGACCAAAGCUGACAAACUCCAGAGGGAGUUAGAAGACACUAGGGUGGCCACGGUAUCUGAAAAAUCUCGCAUCAUGGAACUAGAAAGAGAUCUAGCAUUGCGGGUGAAGGAAGUAGCUGAGCUUCGAGGGAGAUUAGAGUCUAGUAAACACAUUGAUGAUGUGGACACUUCUCUGUCAUUGUUACAAGAAAUAAGUUCUUUGCAAGAAAGAAUGGCAGCAAUUAGCAAAGAACAUCAGAACGAGAUGAAUUCACUAAAAGAGAAGUUUGGAAUUAGCGAAGAAGCCUUGCAGAAAGAGAUCAAGUCACUUUCAGCUUCAAAUGAGAGAAUGGCAAAAGAAAAUGAAUCCUUGAAAACUAAGCUGGAUCAUGCCAACAAGGAGAACUCGGAUGUCAUAGAGCUGUGGAAAUCAAAGCUGGAAUCUGCAAUUGCCUCCCAUCAGCAAGCAAUGGAAGAGCUAAAAGUUUCUUUCAGCAAAGGUGUAGGGGCUCAGACGGCAGAAUUUGCAGAGUUAAAGACUCAGAUUGAGAAGAUUAAAUUAGACUAUGAAAAUGAAAUGUCAAAUUUAAAACUGAAGCAGGAAAAUGAAAAAUCUCAUCAUUUAAAAGAGAUCGAAUCGCUGAAAGCAAAACUGUUGGCGGUCACAGAGGAGAAGGAGCAAAGCCUGGAAAGUCUGAAGACCAAACUGGAAAGUGUGGAAGAUCAGCAUCUAGUAGAAAUGGAAGACACUUUAAACAAAUUACAGGAAGCUGAGAUAAAGGUAAAGGAGCUAGAGGUACUGCAAGCCAAGUACAAUGAACAAACCAAAGUUAUUGAUAGUCUUACACCACAGAUCAAAGCUGCUGAAGAAAAGCUUUUGGACCUUGCUGCACUUCAGAAAGCCAAUUCUGAAGGUAAAUUGGAAAUCCAGAAACUUAGCAAGCAGCUUGAGGCAGCUGAGAAACAAAUUCAGAAUUUAGAGACUGAAAAGGUUGAUGGAAGUAGCAAGGCUAGUAAUCUGGCCAAAGAACUGCAGGGCAAAGAGCAAAAGCUUCUUGACCUUGAGAAAAACUUGAGUGCAGUAAAUCAAGUUAAAGAUUCUUUGGAAAAGGAACUUCAAGUUAUGAAAGAAAAGUUUACUAGUGCGGCUAAUGAAGCAGAAAACGUUCAACAAACUAUGCAAGAAACAAUUAAAAAACUAAACCAAAAAGAAGAGCAGUUUGCACUCUUGUCUUCAGAACUGGAACAGCUGAAGUCUAGUUUAACUGUGAUGGAGAAGAAACUGAAAGAGCGAGAAGAGAGAGAACAGCAACUGAUUGAAGCUAAAGCCAAACUUGAAAAUGAUAUUGCAGAGAUCAUGAAGUCUUCAGGAGACAGCUCUGCCCAGCUGACGAAAAUGAAUGAUGAGCUCCGAUUAAAAGAAAGGCAGUUGGAGCAAAUACAACUUGAGCUUACAAAAGCAAAUGAAAAGGCUGUUCAGCUUCAGGAAAAUGUGGAGCAGACAACACAGAAAGCUGAGCAGAGUCAGCAAGAAGCUCUCAAGAUUCAUCAAGCAGAACUGAAGAGUAUGCAGGAUCAGCUAAUGGACAUGAAAAAGCAAAUUGAGACUAGCCAAAAUCAGUAUAAGGAGCUUCAGGCGAAGUAUGAAAAAGAAACUUCUGAGAUGAUUGCUAAACAUGACACAGAUAUCAAAGGAUUUAAGCAGAACUUGCUGGAUGCAGAAGAGGCACUGAAAAUUGCACAAAAGAAAAACAAUGACUUGGAAAUACAGGCUGAGGAGCUGAAAAAGCAAGCAGAACAGGCCAAAGCUGCCAAAAUGGCAGAAGAUGUUUUCCAGACUGUGGAGAAGGUGACCAAAGAGAAGGAUGCCAUUCACAAAGAAAAGAUUGAAACUUUGGCCUGUUUGGAGAACUCUAGACAGACAAAUGAGAAGCUACAGAAUGAAUUGGAUAUGCUUAAACAAAACAGCCUGAAAAAUGAAGAGGAACUUAAUAAAUCAAAAGAGCUUCUAAACCUGGAGAACAAGAAGGUGGAAGAACUUACAAAAGAAUUCGAAGCGCUGAAGCUGGCAGCAGCUCAGAAGUCCCAGCAGCUUGCAGCUUUGCAAGAGGAGAACGUGAAACUUGCCGAGGAGCUGGGCAGGAGCAGGGACGAAGUCACAAGUCAUCAGAAGCUGGAAGAGGAGAGAUCAGUACUCAAUAACCAGUUAUUAGAGAUGAAAAAGAGAGAAUCAACAUUAAAAAAAGAAAUUGAUGAAGAGAGAGCAUCUUUACAAAAAUCCAUCAGCGUUACUAGUGCCUUGAUCACACAAAAAGAUGAGGAACUGGAAAAACUCAGAAAUGAGAUCACAGUGCUCCGUGGAGAAAACGCGUCUGCAAAAACCUUGCAGUCAGUGGUUAAGUCACUGGAGUCUGACAAACUGGAACUUGAGGAAAAAGUGAAGAACUUGGAGCAAAAGCUCAAGGAAAACAAUGAACAGCCUUUAACUGUAACAAGCUCCUCAGGUGACAUUGCUGCUAAUCUACUUCAAGAUGAAAUUGCAAAAGAGAAGCAGGUACUCGAUCUGAGACAUCAGCAUGCUAAAAUAGCGGUGUGUCUUGGCAGUGAAAUAUUUUUCAAAAAACAGUUUCUACAAGAUUUUGUACAUCAGGAUUAUAAUGGGCAGAUUUAUCUUGGAACCUUGUGCUUCUGAAAGGAAAUCUUUAUGACAGUAAAUACUAAGAAUCAAGUGAUGAGUGAUACUGGAGAAAUAGUUCAGGUUAUUGGAACAUGAGAAGGCAAGCAGGGCAGCAGGGGUGGCAAGUUUUGACCUGCAGCCUGUUGGUGAGGUGCAGCCCAGCAGAGCACAUGCAGGAGCUGCCCCUUGGUGUUCUUUCCAAAGGUUGCUUGGAUGCGCACAAGGAGUAAGGCGUUGCCCACCUGUAUCUGUGGUGCUUGCCAUCUUGGGGCAGUGGGCUACCCGAGCUCCCCAUGCUGCUUCUAAACUUCUGCUGUUGGAAAUACUGAUCUUUGCUCAUUUUUAACUGCAGAACUUUACUCUGAGUGAAGGUUGGCAGCAGCAGAGCAAAGACAUUGCUCAUUUGUCACGUGCUUGGUAACAGGAAAAACAUGUACCAAGCAGAAUGAUAAUCAUAAUGAACAUGAGAAGUGCAGCCUGUGACAACAAAUGCCUGGGAAACACGGUUACAACAGAAGCACCUUCUGCUCAUUAUAAAGUCCCUGUUAGAUCACUAAUGUUGGUCAUAUUGAUUAAAAAAUAUCCUUCCUAGUCUGUACAGAGGUCAGAAGUAGUGUAAUUAACAUACACUGACCACCAAUCUCUUUUUCUGGUUGUUUUUUUUUUGCAUCCUUCAACUCACCUGCUGAUGGCAACCCUUCCUUCCAAUCAGCACGAGAUCGACUUCCUGAAUUCAGUGAUAGUAGAUCUGCAAAGGAGAAACGAAGAAUUGAACUUGAAAAUACAAAGAAUGUGUGAAGCAGCCCUCAAUGGCAAUGAAGAGGAGAUAAAUAACUAUGACAG